rnacentral:tRNA from 1 species
GAAGUUAUAGCUCAGUGGUAGAGUGCAUGCCUAGCACGCACGAGGUCCUGGGUUCAAUCCCCAGUGCCUCCA